UCAAUAAAGAUACCCAAGAGUUGCACAUGUGUCUAAUUUAUCAACAUGUCGGUUCUCUGAACCAUUCAUCUACAAAGACAUAUUCGAUCUAUUAACAUCUCUAGAAGUUUGCUAUUCUCAAGAAAAUUUGCUGUCAAAGCCUCGCAGUCUCUCACUGUCUCUCUCUUGCGCACUCACCACUUGACAAACCUCUUGCUUUCUCUAUAUACUCUUGCUUUCCGUGUAUUUUCACGUUGUGAAAAGCCUCUUACACGCUAACAAAUGCUGCAGAAUGUACCGGCUCUUACUGGACAUACUUCUUGUCUCGUAAGGUAAGAUAUAAAUGCGAAUACUGUCCUGAAAAUUUUUUUUACGUUGGCAGUUCUUGCGAGAAUUUCUCUGGAGUGAUUUCCCAUGGACUCACAUUGUCAGGAGUGUGUUGCUGACGGUUACACUAGUAACAGGGCCCUCCUUCUAGUGUUACUGUGUGACGCCCACGAAGUGUUAAGUGUUGUGGUAUAUAUGUCGACUUCAAAACGCCAGGAACCAGCGAGUAUACCUGCAUUUGCCACAGUGUACAUCUGCAAGAGCCACAGCACACCUGGACUCACCACAGCACACCUGGACUCACCACAGCACACCUGGACUCACCACAGCACACCUGGACUCACCACAGCACACCUGGACUCACCACAGCACACCUGGACUCACCACAGCACUCCUGGACUCACCACAGCACUCCUGGACUCACCACAGCACUCCUGGACUCACCACAACAUUCCUUUCGGUAAGAUUCUAUAUAAUCUGAAAUAUAUAUGCUAGCAUUUCUUUGCUUGUGUUUCUAUAAAUCCAGACCUCAUAAAAGCCAGUGCAACUACUGUCUUAAGCUUUCUUACACCCAGCAGCAGGUUGUAGGCUAUACAGCUUCAUAAAAUUGGAUAACAUGGGUACGGGGAAGUGAGUCCCCCAUAUCAACCUCCUGACAAGGUGGAAUUUGAGGAGACGACUAUACACACCAUCAGAACUACUAAGCUGUGAUGCUCACACAGUGAUAAGUGUUGUGGCAUAUGUUUCUACAUCAUGACUCCAGAAGCCAUAGUAUAUAACUGCUCUAGCCACAGUACAUUGUUACAACAGCUGCCAGGAUCUACCACAACACUAGUGGACUCACCGCAGUACUCGGGGACUCACAACAUUCAGACUGUCCCUCAUGAGCAAGCUCUUCCUGUUUAUGUCCUUAUCAGAGGUCUGUAGGCAAACUGAUCUUGUCAUAGUUAGUAUGUGGAGCAACACACACCUUAACGAAGCCCGUCGGCGAUGUUAAGCCACCAGUGCUGAGACUACUGCUGCUUGUCCAGCAUUUGACUCCCCAGGAUGCGAUCCACCACAGCUGGCUUAAUCGUGUAAACAAUUGUAAAGUGACUCACCCAUAAUGCUACAAGAGUCACCCAUAAUGUUAUAA